GAUGAACGCUAGCUACAGGCUUAACACAUGCAAGUCGAGGGGCAGCACAGUGUAGCAAUACAUGGGUGGCGACCGGCGCACGGGUGCGUAACGCGUAUCCAACCUUCCCGUUACUCUUGGAUAGCCUUCCGAAAGGGAGAUUAAUACAAGAUGGUGUUCAAAUUCCGCAUGUUAUUUGAACUAAAGAUUUAUCGGUAACGGAUGGGGAUGCGUGACAUUAGGUAGAUGGCGGGGUAACGGCCCACCAUGCCUACGAUGUCUAGGGGUUCUGAGAGGAAGGUCCCCCACAAUGGAACUGAGACACGGUCCAGACUACGACGGGAGGCAGCAGUGAAGAAUAUUGGUCAAUGGUCGGAAGACUGAACCAGCCAAGUAGCGUGAAGGAUGAAGGUUCUAUGGAUUGUAAACUUCUUUUAUACGGGAAUAAAACCUCCCACGUGUGGGAGCUUGUAUGUACCGUAUGAAUAAGCAUCGGCUAACUCCUUGCCAGCCGCCGCAGUAAUAC
rnacentral:rRNA from 1 species